UUCAAAUAUAACCUGCAAGGAGCAAGGAAGAAACCGCAAGCAACACAACUUUUUCGCCCUCAAAUUACAUCCCAGCUGAGACCGCUGCCUGGGAUUUUCUCAGCAUCCUUCCUGCCCCUCAGUAGGACAUGCUGAGCUGUUCUGAGCCAUUUCACCUGUGUUGGGAGCUGUGGCGGGAAAUCAGACGGAGCGGCGUCUUGUAGCUCAUUUGCCUCACGGUGGCUCCUGCUGCCUUUCUCCUCUUCCCAUGUGGCCAGUGGCCAGCCAGCCCCUGCUGUCAGCACUUCUGAGCUAAGAUCUCUCUGACUCCACAGGAACUGGCAGUGGGAAUCCAAAAGUCACCAUGGUGACGACUCACUUAGGAGUGUGCUGUGUUUCCUGAUCGCGCAGCAGCCGUGGGGGCAGGCGGGGCAGCUGCGCUUCCACCCACUCUGAAGUUCACCCAAAGCUGCAAAUUUAAAAGCAUGUAAUUGAGCAAUAAACAAUUUGCGAAUCAGGCAGCCUUCUAAGCCAGAGUAGACUCAGAGACUCAGGCGCAGCCGCAUGAUGGAAGAACGCACCCUGUGUGUUCACCCGGCGUUCUUCCCUCUAUGCGAUUGCACAGCGUUUUCCCCAGUGUGUAUUUACCCGGCGUUCUCCACCCUGUGUGAUCGCCCAGCGUUCUCCCCUGUGUGUGUUCCCCUGGCGUUCUCCCCUCUGUGCAUCCACCAGGCGGUCGCCCUUCUGUGUGUUCCCGCGGCGUUCUCCCCAUGUGUUCACGUGGCGUUCUCUCCCCUGUGUGUUCCCACGGCGGUCUCUUUACUCUGUGCGUUCCUCGGCAUUCUUUCUCCUGUGUGCGUUCACCAGGGGUUCUCCUUUCUUUGUGCGUUCACAUGGCAUUCUCCACCCUGUGCGUUCGCUCGGCGUUCUCCCCUCUGUGCCUUCACCAGGUGUUCUCCCUUCUGUGUGUUCGCACUGCAUUCUCCCUUCUGUGUGUUCACGUGGCGUUCUCU
rnacentral:lncRNA from 1 species